GACGAACGCUGGCGGCGUGCCUAACACAUGCAAGUCGAACGGAAAGGCCCUGCUUUUGUGGGGUGCUCGAGUGGCGAACGGGUGAGUAACACGUGAGUAACCUGCCCUUGACUUUGGGACAUCUUCAGGAAACUGGGGCUAAUACCGGAUAGGAGCUCCUGCUGCAUGGUGGGGGUUGGAAAGUUUCCGCGGUGGGGGAUGGACUCCUGGCGUAUCAGCUUGUUGGUGGGGUAGUGGCAUACCAAGGCUUUGACGGGUAGCCGGCCUGAGAGGGUGACCAGCCUCAAUGAGACUAAGAUACGGCCCAGCGUCCUACGGAAGGAAGCAGUGGGGAGUAUUGCAAAGUGGGCGGAAGCCUGUUGCAGCGGCUCCGCGGGCGGGAUGACGGCCAUCAGGUUAUAAACCGUUUUAACCUGUAACGAAGCAUGUGUGACGGUAAUAAGUAAAGAAGCACCGGCUAACUACGUG
rnacentral:rRNA from 1 species